CCUACGGGAGGCAGCAGUGGGGAAUUUUGGACAAUGGGCGAAAGCCUGAUCCAGCAAUGCCGCGUGAGUGAAGAAGGCCUUCGGGUUGUAAAGCUCUUUUGUCAGGGAAGAAACGGUGAGGGCUAAUAUCUCUUGCUAAUGACGGUACCUGAAGAAUAAGCACCGGCUAACUACGUGCCAGCAGCCGCGGUAAUACGUAGGGUGCAAGCGUUAAUCGGAAUUACUGGGCGUAAAGCGUGCGCAGGCGGUUUUGUAAGUCUGUCGUGAAAUCCCCGGGCUCAACCUGGGAAUUGCGAUGGAGACUGCAAGGCUAGAAUCUGGCAGAGGGGGGUAGAAUUCCACGUGUAGCAGUGAAAUGCGUAGAGAUGUGGAGGAACACCGAUGGCGAAGGCAGCCCCCUGGGUCAAGAUUGACGCUCAUGCACGAAAGCGUGGGGAGCAAACAGGAUUAGAUACCCUGGUAGUCCACGCCCUAAACGAUGUCUACUAGUUGUCGGGUUUUAAUUAACUUGGUAACGCAGCUAACGCGUGAAGUAGACCGCCUGGGGAGUACGGUCGCAAGNUUAAAACGUUNAAAUUGAAUUGACGGNUUGNGAGNGCGAGGACGACGACGAGGGAGAGG
rnacentral:rRNA from 1 species